rnacentral:RNase_P_RNA from 3 species
CGAGUUGGCCGGGCGGCCGCGGCCGGAGGUGUCUCCGGUCGAGGAAAGUCCGGACUCCACAGGGCAGGGUGGUUGCUAACGGCAACCCGGGGUGACCCGCGGGACAGUGCCACAGAAAACAGACCGCCCGGCCACACCGGCCGGGUCAGGGUGAAACGGUGGUGUAAGAGACCACCAGCGUCCCGGGUGACCGGGACGGCUCGGUAAACCCCACCCGGAGCAAGGCCAAGAGGGAGCCCAGGCUCCUGCGCAGGCGUUCGAGGACGGCCCGUCCGAGUCUGCGGGUAGGCUGCUUGAGCCUGUCGGCGACGGCAGGCCCAGAUGGAUGGUCGCCCAUCGCCCGCCGCGAGGCGGGCGUGGACAGAAUCCGGCUUACAGGCCAACUCGUCCA